CUUUCAAUCUUUCUUUUUUCCUGGACUUGUAGUUCCCAUCACAUUGGAAGCUGCCAAGGUUCCCAUAGUGAUAAGGUCCACAUCUUGUUCCUGUGCUGCAGGGAGAGCCCUUUGGAACCACUUGGUGGGGCUUCUUUAUCUAAGUGCCCGUUUCAGCACCUUGAACUACAAGAUUGUGCCAUUACAUGUGUCUUGCACUGACAGACUGCAGACCUGGCACAGGCCUCGGACCCAGGGCCCCUUCCUGACCCGGGUGUGAUGUCUGUUGGAGAGAAAUUGAAAGACAUUCAGCCACAGCUGGGGAUCUGUAAGAUUCUUCAUGGACUUGAGGAACUCACCAUGGUGGAGUCCAAAUUUGGUCUUGUGCCCUUUGGAUCAGUUCUAUCAUACCAGUGCCCCCUAGAGAGCGUGCCCUGGUGGGGAAAGUGGACGCGGGGAAGAUCAAGCACAAGUGGGAGAACCUCAAACAAAAAUACAAGGGUGGUCCCAGUGGUCAUCACCCUGGUCAUGGAAGGCCCCCUCCUCCACCUCUGGCUCCACCAAAUCCCCAUUGUUGAUGGAGAGGUUGUGGAGGAAGACACAGGUCGACACCACUGCAGGAACAAAGGGCCUUGAGGAAGAUGCUGCGCCACCGCGUCUUCAUCAUGCCAAUCGCCCUUUCCACCACACACCGUGCUUUGGCAUGAUGCUGGUUGUAUCGUACAUGAACAGGGUUUUGCACCGGCUCCCUGAAUGGGGUCAUCAAGCUGAUUGGUGCAGCCAGGCAGGGAUACCCCCAUCCCCAACAAUACACCAGCCAUGAGGGGGGUAGAGUUGGUGUACGUACAGAGAACUCCACCGCAGGACCCUGCAUCGUGGACAGAGCCUGGAAGUCCUGUGAACAAGGGUGGCUUGAUUCUAAUGUGUGUCCCAUCAAUGCUGCCAGCCGCUCUGCAGAAGGCAUGAGAGCCAGCCAGGUGGGCAAAG